UGAACUAAUUUUUUAACUUCGCACAUUAUAAUACUGUCGAUUAUGGUUUAUCAUUAAUUAUUUCUAUAAUUUCGCAAAAUAUACCCAAAUAUUAGGCCGUACGUAUAAUUAUGAUUAAACAUUGAAUUAUUUUCAUAACUUCGCAAAUAAUAAUAUUUUCGAGUAUGAUUUAUCAUUAAUUAUUUACAUAAUUUCACAAAACAACCAAGUAUUAGAAUCUCUAGGAUUGUUUGAAUAUAUUAAAUAUAAUAAAAUAUUUACUUCUGCAUUAAAAUUAUAAAUUUAAUACGAAAAUGUAUUCAGCUAAGUCUUCUUCACCAAAAUCUUAGUCAAAUAAAUUAUAACAAUUUUAAUCUACGAUAUAAUAAUAAAUAAAUUUAAAUAUUAAAAAAAAAGAACAAUUCUAAUAUUAAAUAAAUACAAAUAAAAUUAAUUUAUUAGAUUAAUAAGAAUAAAAAAUAAAGAAAAGGACCUAAAAUUCAACAAAACCAUUAUUAGAAGUAUCAAGUUAAAAAUAAUACGCUAAUUUAAAAAAUAUCCCAAAUAUUAUCAUAAAUAUAACUGAACUGCAUAAUGAAACACCAUAUCACAAUUCUUAUAACAGACUUUUUAAGGAAUAAGUUCAAGAUGGGUUGCUUCAAAAUUUGGCAAGGUCGCUUAAACUUGAAUAAGGCCGAACUUUCCACGACAAGAAUCGAAAUAAAUUCGUUAUUUUAUUAAUUAGAAAAGACAGACGUAUCUGCACUUAUCAGAAUUUAAAUAAAAAUUCCUUUGAAGGCUUUUUAAGGAAUAAGUUCAAAAAGGCCUACUCCAAAAGUUUUCGAUAAGACUUGAAAAAGGCUGAACUUUCUUUCUUUUAAUUUAGAAAAAAUAGAUAGGCAUAAGUAAUUCAGAUAUGGAACUGUGUCUUUUAUGUAGGUUUUAAUAAAAAAGUUUAGGUAAUAGUUUGAAAAACUUACAAAAGAAUUCACAAUUAAAUUUUCAUCAUCAACAAACAAUUCUGCACAUCUUAUCAACUUCUCUUUUUCAAACUUCUCUCAACAUCCCCAAUUAGGAUAGGUUUUAAAAAAAAAAAAAUAUUAAAAACUUUUAAUUAUACAAGCGGAAUAAAAAAAUAUUUAAUAAAUAUUUAAAAAAAACAACAAAUAUAAACCAUCGAAAAACAUUAAAUCUAGGAUCCUUUUUAUUUUUAAACUUAAACUUUUUCUUGAAAUAUAAAAUAAAAUCAUAUUUUUUUUAAAUAAAACCGGAGCGUACUGUAAAGAGAUUUUUUCUUCCUGAUUAAAUUACAAAUUUUGAAGGUGAUUAGAGCGGAAAACAUUUAAAUAAAUUUGACGAGAAUAGAAAAAGGUUAAUAUAAUAAAAUAUUUAAAAUCAAAACACAAUGGUACAAAACAUAUAAAAAUUAAAACAACAAUUACGAUUAUAAAAGCUUCAAAUAGGUCUUCGAGUCUUCGAAUAAUCUCUUUUAAACAAUAAAUUGUUUGGAUUUUUAAGAUUUUUUUUGAAUAGGUACUCAAGAGUCAAGAAUCAAGUUUCAGGACGUAUAAAACUCAACAUUUACCCAAAAAGAAAUAAAUCAGGGUCCCAUACCCGCAGUUACCGUGCAAAUACGUAAGUCGGUAUAAUAAUGCUAUUCUAUAUUUCAAAAUACAAAAUAUAUAUAUAUUUUUAUUUUCAACAAGUUUUAGAGUUUUUAUUUUAUUGAAAUUUUUAGAUUCGCUUAAAAAAUGCUCUAUAAUUUAACAAAACAAAUGUUUAUAGGUAUUUGAGACUAGUUUUAUUCGACUUACUUAACCAUAUUAUAUUUAUAACAUCCAUUUUAAUAUACAUAAUUAAUAAAAGGUAUAAAUAAAAUCUUUUCAUUUAUUUCCUUUUUUUUGUUUCAUUAGUUUUCGAUAUUUUAUUUCUAACAACAUUUUUUAAAUCCUCUUUUCCAAAAACUUUUUUUUUAAUAUCACUUUUCUUUAGGAAUAUGUUUUUUCCUGUUUUCAAAUAAUCUUUUUUUUAGAAAGAAAACCGAAUUUUUAGCAAGAUUGGUAUGGAUUUUGUAUUUGGUAUUUUUCCCAUUAACAACACGAAAAUAGUAACAGUAAAAAGUAACAUAGAAAAAUUGAUGAAAUCGAUGUGUCUCCUUGAGAUGUGUAAUGUGAUGGAUUUAUUUAAAGUAUAAAUUAAAUACAGCAUGAAAUUAAAAAACACAAAAAUAAACGAAAGAAAAUGCUUCCUUGCGCAUAAUAUUAACCCUUGAAAAACAGGUACUUUUGAAAAUUGCAUUAAAUUCAACUUUGUAUAUUUCUUAUUUUUGAAGAUGUUAUCCAGUUCUGGUCUCUCUUAAAAAAUAAAAUAGCACGUUUCAAAAAAAAUAAAAACAAGUACAUUUGAUAAAAAAUUAAAAUGUUGGUUAUUGGAAAUGUAAGUUUUAUUUUUGUUUUUGGAAUUUUAAUGUUUUAUAUAUUUUGUCUUAAUUUUGAAAAUUUAUUUAUCGUUAAUAUAUUUAAAUUAAUAUACAUAUAUAUUACUCUCUACUUCUGCCCAUAAUUACCAUGUACAUGAGGUUUGCUUAAAAAAUAAUUCACUGAGGUAAAUUGUUUUUGAAUUGAUUUUUAUUUAUAUUUCAAACAUUUUACUUUAUUCCUUUUUAUAGCAUUUUCGAAAUUUUUUAAUGUCGUCAGAUAUAGCUACAAAUUAAAUUCGUACUAUAAAUAAUUAAAAUAAUAUAAAUAUUUAGUUAAUUGUUUAGAGUUUGAAAUAAAAAUGCUUUUUUAGAUAAAUGGGGUUCGUUACUAAUAAUAUUUUCAGGUAAAAACUUACUUAAUGGUUUUCUUCCUUUUUUUUUUGGAAAAGAUGUGAUGACGAUGAAUUCCUCUUAAAAAAUUGAAAAACGAACCCAAAAAAAAGAAUAUUUUGCGCUGAUAUUUUGACGUUCCAUGCAUGAAUAUUUUCUUAUUCAAAAACAAAAAUGCUUAACGCAAAAUUUAAGAAAUGUUUUGGUAAAUAAAUGUAAGAUUACUAACGUGCGUCGUAAUAAUUAUUCAUUAUUCGAAGUAUGGGUAUAUAAAUAAAUGCAUGGAAACAAAACACUUGAAUAAAUAUUAUUUAUUAUGAGUAAAUACAAAAAUAUCGCUGCACUAUAAAUAAUAAUAUUGCUGAAUUAAUUAUUUUGAAAUUUUGUUUCCUUAUAAAUAAUAAUUUCCACUUUUGUGAUUGAAAAAAUAUGUUUUAUAUAAUUUAAAUAUGUUUUUAUUCUUCUCAAUGUUCUUAUUUUCCAGUUAUUUAUUGAUACUAUUUUUUAUCCCAAAAACUUAAUUAUUUAAUUUUCUUAUCAUCGUCGAAGAAAAAUAGGUCUUAUCUCUUAACACAUUUAAAUUCAUCACUCAUUCAAAUAUAUUUUCUUAAUUAUUAUUAAGAAGUUAAAAAUUUUAACUACAAAACCACAUUUUUUUCGUUUCCUUCCACUUAAAAAUAGUUCUUAAAUUUAGGAAAUCUAUUUUCCUAAAAUUGACAACUAUUGAUGUAUUUGAAUUUUACGAAAAUCAUUUAGGCUUUUGCCUUAAGUUUUUACGCCUACACUUUACGAUUUCCUUACUUUUAUGACCUAAAAGCGACUUAUUCAAUUUUUUACUGAUUUAAGUCUUCAUUUGUUUUCUUCUCCGAUUUAAUAAUUUCUUACAAAACAUAAGUCGUUUAUUUUCGUUACUUUUUACAUUACUUAUUCCUUUUUCGAAAAUAACUCCGUUUAAAAAAAACACAUACUUUUCAAAGACCCUCUUUUUUCCAGUUCAAUACAAAAAUAAUUCUUAAAUUAAAAAAUGUUUCGUUUUUCUUUUUUUAAUUCUUGACAAUUAUUUUUACCAAGGAUUGAAUUCAAUUGGGUCUUUACAAUUUCUCUCCCAGUUAUAGGUCAACUUUUUGGCAAUGCAUUUGAACGUAAUAUUGGACACUUUAAGCAUCUUUUAUAACUUAAAAAGUUAUUUUGAUGACUUUUAUGUGUACAUGAACAGAAUGAUGCGUUGCCUUUAUGAAUGUAUGUACGGGAUUUUAAAAUUUUCAGCUCAGUUUUAAGUACUUUUGUUUUUAAAUAUAAAAUUAACAGAUGCAUGGGUAUGUACCUACUGGAGAGAUAUCAACAGUUUAAAAUUGGCUUUUUCAGCUUUAAUUUCAUCACAGAUUCAUCAAAAAAUCAAUUCAUGCAUAUUUUAAUUUAAAGUUAUUUAACUUUUUCUUAAAUAAAUCAUAUGCACACUUAAAUGAUUAUUUCUAACGAUUAUUUCAAAAAUAAAAGAAUUUUUUGAUAAUUGGUUGUUUUGCUCUAUCCAAAGAACGCAAAAUUUAAACUUUUUAAAAUGUUUUAUUUGUAUUCAUUUAUUCAGCUUUUAUUUAUGUUUCAAAAUUAUGCUGUUUUAUAAUAAAAUCUACACUUUAAGUACAUACAUUUCAUGCAUCUUAACAAAACUAUAAUAUAAAUUAUAAUGGACACAUUUGUGAUCCAAAAAUUAAAUAUAUAUAUCAAUAUAUAAAAUUCCUUUCAUCCACAAGGAUGCUCAAAACACCAAUUGUCCGGUGGGAUUUGUUCAACUAUAAUUUUAUAUCAUUUUUUGGUGAAAUGAUAAAAUAAAAUUUUGUGCAUAAAAUAAUAUCCCUUACCUUUCGAUUGUCUUUUUUAAGAUAAUUGAUCCUUUCCCAAAACAAAUCCCACCAUCCCAAAAGAUUCUCAAAGAGAUACAAAACUUGAAUUUCAAUUUUGUUUUUGAAAUAAAAUAAAAUCUGAAAAGAGAUACAUACUUGAAAAACACGUCCUUAUUAGGACGAAAACAAGAGAUAUGAAACAUUAGAAGAUGAAUAUGCCUAUACCAUCUGGGAGAUGACGAACAAGAGAUAUUAAACAACAGAGCGUGCCUAUCUGAGAAGCUAUGACAUGGAUUUGAGAAACCUUUUAACGCUCGCAGAGAAGAUACCGAAGACACCAACAAUCCAUCCAGUGGUAGAAAUGUAAUUAUAGGGGAUGAUGCUGUUGUUAUUUGCCAUUAGAAAAUAUCAAAAGCUGUUUUUCCAAAUAUCUUUCAACAUGGAUGCCUUAAACUACAUCUAAACCUGCAAGACACAUUUUAUUUGUGUUAAAUAAUAAAACUUACCUCUAUUAAUUUAAAUUAAUUAGUAAGCUUAUCAAGAAUCAUGAAUGAUUUAGAAAUUAGUAUGUAAUUAGUUUAAGUCAAAUUUAAAAAAACAAUUCAAGAUAAAUAAAGUAAAAGAUAGUUUAAAAAUAAAAACUAAAAAACUACAUAAAUUCAUCAUUAAUCAGAAACCAAACAAAACUUUUUAGAACUUUUUUUAAAAAUGAAUUAAAUUGUAACAAAACAUUAAAAAAAAUACAUCUUUUAUGUAAAUAAAAUACUUUCUAUGCAUCAAAAUAGUUGAAUAUUUUAGUUUUGUAUUGCAUUUCUUAAGUUGAUAUUUUAAGAUUCAGUAAAGUAACAACAAAUUAAAUAUUUAAAUGAUAGCAUCAAAGGAAGUUUUUAUGUAAUCAUUCCUAAGUAGUCAUUUUAUAAAUUCAAAUUUUGGAGGACAAUUUAAUUUAUUGUACUCAAAAAUUAAAAACAAAAAUAUUUACAAUUAGUUAAGGAUUGUUCAUUUCAUGUAAGGAAAUUUCGUGGGUAGUUUAGCCUAAAGAAAUGACUCAUAAAUAAAUAAAAAAGAAUAUUUUUAAAUUAAAAAUUAAAUUACUUCCAA